GUAGUUCGCUACUUGCCGUUAUUAGUUAAAACCAAAUGCUGCAGCGCGUUUAGUGUUUCAGUAAGGUGAUUCUAGAUAACUUGGCAGAUUGCAUAGCCUUGAGCUGGCAAUAUUUCGAUUGAAUUUCCGCCCUAUCAACUGUUGAUGGUAAGGUAGUGGCUUACCAUGGUUGCAACGGGUAACGGGGAAUCAGGGUUCGAUUCCGGAGAGGGAGCCUGAGAAACGGCUACCACAUCCAAGGGAGGCAGCAGGCGCGCAAAUUACCCAAUCCAGACAAUGGGAGGUGGUAACGAGAAGUACUGGGUGGUAGACAAUGUCUGCUAAUCUCAGAAUGAGCAUAAAGUAAACAUGUAGUCGAGUAACGACUGGAGGGCAAGUCUGGUGCCAGCAGCCGCGGUAAUUCCAGCUCCAGUAGCAUGUCGUAAAGUUGUUGCGUUUAAAACGCUCGUAGUCGGAUCAUGGAGUAUCGAUGAGUUGGUCUGCGUGUGGGGGCAAUAAAACUGUAUCCGCUAGUUUGCCGUCAUUAAUUUGAUGGUGGUUAGUGGAUAGAGCGCUAUCUACGUAGACUUGUUGCUCAUCGGUACUAUUUGCAUGUAAGAAUAAUGGUUGGCCUUUAGUGCGUUGGCCAUUGUGUCUUACAGAGUGUGCCUUGAAUAAAUCAUAGUGCUUAAAGCACGCUAUUGCCUGAAUGAUAGAGCAUGGAACGAACAAACGUGUACGUGAUGAUAGAGAGGGUCGCAAGACUUAAUCUACAUCAUAUCACCAACCACCAUGUACGGAUGUUGGUUUCCGUAUUGAGGUGAUGAUUAAAACGAGCGGUUGGGGGCAUUGGU
rnacentral:rRNA from 1 species